rnacentral:rRNA from 1 species
GACGAACGCUGGCGGCGUGCUUAACACAUGCAAGUCGAACGAUGAAGCUAGAGCUUGCUCUGGUGAAUUAGUGGCGAACGGGUGAGUAACACGUGAGUAACCUGCCCCGAACUCUGGGAUAACUGCUGGAAACGGUAGCUAAUACUGGAUACGACCUACGAAGGCAUCUUCUGUAGGUGGAAAGAAUUUCGGUUCGGGAUGGACUCGCGGCCUAUCAGCUUGUUGGUGAGGUAAUGGCUCACCAAGGCGACGACGGGUAGCCGGCCUGAGAGGGUGGCCGGCCACACUGGGACUGAGACACGGCACAGACUCCUACGGGGGGCAGCAGUGGGGAAGAUUGCACAAUGGGCGCAAGCCUGAUGCAGCAACGCCGCGUGAGGGAUGACGGCCUUCGGGUUGUAAACCUCUUUUAGUAGGGAAGAAGCGAAAGUGACGGUACCUGCAGAAAAAGCACCGGCUAACUACGUGCCAGCAGCCGCCGUAA